rnacentral:rRNA from 1 species
CCUACGGGAGGCAGCAGUGAGGAAUAUUGGUCAAUGGGCGAGAGCCUGAACCAGCCAAGUCGCGUGAAGGAUGACGGCCCUACGGGUUGUAAACUUCUUUUGUCAGGGAGCAAUUGGGUCCACGCGUGGGCUUAGCGAGAGUACCUGAAGAUAAAGCCUCGGUUAACUCCGUGCCAGCAGCCGGGGUAAUACGGAGGAUGCGAGCGUUAUCCGGAUUUAUUGGGUUUAAAGGGUGCGAAGGCGGAAUAUCAAGUUGGCGGUAAAAAUUUGGGGCUCAACACCGUCGUGCCGUUGAAACUGAUGUUCUUGAGUGGGCGGGAGGUAGGCGGAAUGCGUGGUGUAGCGGUGAAAUGCAUAGAUAUCAAGCAGAACUCCGAUUGCGAAGGCAGCAUACCGGCGCGCAACUGACGCUGAAGCACGAAAGCGUGGGUAUCGAACAGGAUUAGAUACCCCGGUAGUC